rnacentral:rRNA from 1 species
AUUAAACCUAUUAAACUUGGCAGUUGUUAUAAGGUAGAGAAACUUGUUUUUUAAUAGAUAACACUCAAUUAGUUUAACUUUUAUAUAAAAGUUUAUAUACCGCCGUUUCUGAAAUUAAAUAAAUUAUAUCACAAAACAAAAGCAUUAAAAAAAUCAGGUCAAGGUAUAACCAACAUUAAAGUAAAAAUUAGUUACAAAUAAAAACAAUUUAAGGAAAAUCACUUCAAAUAGACUUAAAAACAGAAUCUACAAACACUAAAUUAUUAAAAUUAAUAAACGCAAUAAAAAAUAAUAAUGU